rnacentral:rRNA from 1 species
AGCGAACGCUGGCGGCAGGCUUAACACAUGCAAGUCGAGCGGGCACUUUCGGGUGUCAGCGGCGGACGGGUGAGUAACGCGUGGGAACGUGCCCUCUGGUUCGGAAUAACUCAGGGAAACUUGAGCUAAUACCGGAUACGCCCUUUUGGGGAAAGGCUUGCUGCCGGAGGAUCGGCCCGCGUCUGAUUAGCUAGUUGGUGAGGUAACGGCUCACCAAGGCGACGAUCAGUAGCUGGUCUGAGAGGAUGAUCAGCCACACUGGGAGUGAGACACGGCCCAGACUCCUACGGGAGGCAGCAGUGGGGAAUAUUGGACAAUGGGCGCAAGCCUGAUCCAGCCAUGCCGCGUGAGUGAUGAAGGCCUUAGGGUUGUAAAGCUCUUUUAUCCGGGACGAUAAUGACGGUACCGGAGGAAUAAGCCCCGGCUAACUUCGUG